GUCCCCACCAUGGCCUGGAUGAUGCUUCUCCUCGGACUCCUUGCUUAUGGCUCAGUGGAUUCUCAGACUGUGGUGACGCAGGAGCCAUCGUUCUCAGUGUCCCCUGGAGGGACAGUCACACUCACUUGUGGCUUGAGCUCUGGCUCAGUCUCUACCAGUUACUACCCCAGCUGGUACCAGCAGACCCCUGGCCAGGCUCUACGCAUGCUCAUCUACAGCACAAACACUCGCACUUCUGGGGUCCCUGAUUGCUUCUCUGGCUCCAUCCUUGGGAACAAAGCUGCCCUCACCAUCACGGGUGCUCAGGCAGAUGAUGAAUCUGAUUAUUACUGUGUGCUGUAUAUGGGUAGUGGCAUUUCCACAGUGAUUUAA